GAUGAACGCUGGCGGCGUGCUUAACACAUGCAAGUCGAACGAUGAAGCCCAGCUUGCUGGGUGGAUUAGUGGCGAACGGGUGAGUAACACGUGAGUAACCUGCCCUUGACUCUAGGAUAAGCCCGGGAAACUGGGUCUAAUACUGGAUAGGAACGUCUACCGCAUGGUGGGUGUUGGAAAGAAUUUCGGUCAUGGAUGGACUCGCGGCCUAUCAGCUUGUUGGUGAGGUAAUGGCUCACCAAGGCGACGACGGGUAGCCGGCCUGAGAGGGUGACCGGCCCCCCUGCGACUGAGCCACGGCCCAGAGUAGUACGGGAGGCAGCAGUGGGGAAUAUUGUCCGAUGGGCGCAAGCCUGAUGCAGCGACGCCGCGUGAGGGAUGACGGCCUUCGGGUUGUAAACCUCUUUCAGUAGGGAAGAAGCGAAAGUGACGGUACCUGAAGAAGAAGCACCGGCUAACUACGUG
rnacentral:rRNA from 1 species